GUGUUCACUUCAGUAUCACAUAUACUAAAAUUGGAACGAUACAGAGAAGAUUAGCAUGGCUCCUAUGCAAAGAUGACACUUAAAUUCAUGAAGCAUUCCAUACUUUU
ensembl:snRNA U6 U6 spliceosomal RNA